ACUGCAAUAGCUCAGUUGGGAGAGCGUUAAACUAUAGAUCGAAUGGACCCUGGUUCGGUCCCGGGAUUCGGCA
rnacentral:tRNA from 1 species